rnacentral:rRNA from 1 species
UACGUAGGGAGCAAGCGUUGUCCGGAAUCAUUGGGCGUAAAGCGCGCGUAGGUGGCCCGGUAAGUCCGCUCUGAAAGUCAAAGGCUCAACCUUUGAAAGCGGGUGGAUACUGCCAGGCUAGAGUCCGGAAGAGGCGAGUGGAAUUCCUGGUGUAGCGGUGGAAUGCGUAGAGAUCGGGAAGAAUACCCGUGGCGAAGGCGGCCGGACUGGGCCGGAUCCGACGCUGAUGCGCGAAAGCGUGGGGAGCAAACAGG